rnacentral:rRNA from 1 species
AAGUCGUAACAAGGUUUCCGUAGCAUAAGUUAGGAACAUGAUUCUUCCCACGUUUGAAACUUAUAGAAGCCUUAGUAGCCCAGCAAUGGGAGGCCACACGACCUUAAAUAAAGUGGCCGCCUACUAGUUGACACUGAUAGUCAGCAACACGACCGGAUUAGCGGGAACAUCUGUAGCACCCAUGGUGUUAUAGGUAACCCACAGCGAACCCUCAAGCUUUCAUGCCAAAUGGGAACGUCUACAGACUAAAUGGUUGUGGGUAGAUCAUUCUGUGGAAUGUUCUAUUUGAGAUAUAGUCGGGCCUGAUGGUCACUCAUCAGGGUGUCAUACUUAGACACGAUAACCGUUCCGUAGGUGAACCUGCGGAAGGAUCAUUACAGAGAACAUGCCCUACAGGGUAUAUCUCCCACCCUAUGUUUACACUACUUUGUUGCUUUGGCAGGCCCGUCUCACGACCGCCGGCUCCGGCUGGUCAGCGCCUGCCAGAGGACCAUCUAAAUCUUUUGUUAAACGUCGUCUGAGUUAUUAUACAAUAGUUAAAACUUUCAACAACGGAUCUCUUGGUUCUGGCAUCGAUGAAGAACGCAGCAAAAUGCGAUAAGUAAUGUGAAUUGCAGAACUCAGUGAAUCAUCGAAUCUUUGAACGCACAUUGCGCCCUCUGGUAUUCCGGGGGGCAUGCCUGNUCGAGCGUCAUUACNACCCUCAAGCUCUGCUUGGNNUUNGGNNNGNAACAUUCCCGGUUCAUCCUCAAAAUCAGUGGCAGUGCCAUGUAGCCCUCAGCGCAGUAAAUUUCUCGCUUCAGGGUCUGGAUGUCCGCUAGCCAGAAAACUAAACAUCAAAGGUUGACCUCGGAUCAGGUAGGGAUACCCGCUGAACUUAAGCAUAUCAAUAAGCGGAGGAAAAGAAACCAACAGGGAUUGCCUCAGUAACGGCGAGUGAAGCGGCAACAGCUCAAAUUUGAAAUCUGGCCUCACGGUCCGAGUUGUAAUUUGUAGAGGAUGCUUCGAGCGCGGUCCAGUCAAAGUUCUCUGGAAGGGGAAGUCAUGGAGGGUGAGAAUCCCGUACGCGACUGGGUGCCUAAGCUCAUGUGAAGCUCCUUCGACGAGUCGAGUUGUUUGGGAAUGCAGCUCAAAAUGGGUGGUAAAUUUCAUCUAAAGCUAAAUAUUGGCCAGAGACCGAUAGCGCACAAGUAGAGUGAUCGAAAGAUGAAAAGCACUUUGGAAAGAGAGUUAAACAGUACGUGAAAUUGUUGAAAGGGAAGCGCUUGCAACCAGACUUGCAUGCAGCUGAUCAUCCGAUGUUCUCACCGGUGCACUCAGUUGUAUUCAGGCCAGCAUCGGUUUUGGUGGUUGGAUAAAGACUCAGGGAAUGUAGCUUCUCUCGGGGAGUGUUAUAGCCCUGAGUGCAAUGCAGCCUACUGGGACCGAGGACCGCGCUUCGGCUAGGAUGCUGGCGUAAUGGUUGUAAGCGAC